UCCGGUGUGGUUUAGUUGGUCAUAAUAUGCUUUGUCUUUGUUAAUGGCAAAGUAAGACCCAAGUUCGAUCCUUGGCGCCGGAC